ensembl:lncRNA
GUCCGUCUCUUGUGUCAUUAACCAGAUUAUGUUCAGCUGUGUACUCACCGGUCUCUCAUUACCAUCCUCAUCUGUCAGCAUAUUUAAGUCCUCUGUUUCCUUCUGUUCACUGUCGCGUCAUUGAUGUUGUUACUGCUGGUCCCGUGUGUUCAGUUCUGUUCAGUCACUUCGGUUCAGCCAGCCAUUUCAUUAAAUACCAUUAUCCUGCACCGUGAGUCCAGCGUUUGGGUCCUCUUCUCAUUCACACGCGAAACCCUGACAACAAGUCCAAGGACAUGGGAUCAUCCAACUCUGAGCACGAAAACUUACUGGAGGAAUUUUAAGCCCGACAAGAUAAAUUCACAAACAAGUUUGCUCACUUUCAGUGAGAUAUCCAAGAGAAAAAGAACAAUUGACCCAUCGAGUGAAAUAAGAAUUUCUUCUCCAAGCAGAACAUGGUGUAGAGAAACCCGUGUUGGCUAUCACAGUGGUGAGGCAUUUCUUGUAGUUGGUUUCUUGGCUGCUGUUUGGCAUCUCAAUGGUUCAGCUCCCUCCACAGAUUUUCUACAGCACUGAGGUCGGGAGACUGGCUACUUCAUGACCUAAAAGUGUUUCUCCUUAACCAAGCCUUUAUUGUCAUUAUGUUUUUGGUCUACCUCAGUCAGGAGUUCGACGCAAGAGAUCUUGCAUCGAACUCCUGACUGAGGGUGACUGAUGUCUGUUACCACCACGUCACAAUGUGCAUAAAGUUAAACGAUUCAAACUAAUAAAACACAUUUUAAAAAGACUUUUUCAUUUGAUUACAUUUUAUAUGAUGGAUUAUGCAUAAAAGCCCUGGCUCCGACAGUCUUGGUCAUUGUGUCCUUGGGCAAGACACUUCAGCCGUUGCCUACUGGUAGUGGUCAGAGGAUCCAGUGGCGCC